CUUUUGUUUACAUUAAUAGCGUCAUGAUAUUGUUGUAUUCUACGGUGAGCUUGGAGGAGACGGAAGCGAUGUGAAAUAUUGAGCAGUCCUAAAGCUACACAUUUGUGUGCAGAAGGGGGACAUGAUCCAAUUUCACCACUAUGCUGGAAUGUGUGGAAUGUAAUUGAAGACUUGCAUAGAAGCACAUCAAGUGGCAGCAAUCUGGUAUACUGUUAUUACAAUGGGCUGUGUGUGAUGAAAUAUCAAACCAUGCCACAAUAAUAGCUGCCCUGAGCAAACUCAGUCUAUAAGGUGGGGACCAUUUUCGGAAAUCAUAUGAUUAAGUUGUUUUGAUUCCAUCAAACAGGACACCUUGACAGACACAUGUGGUGGCAAGAUAUAAAUUAAUGGGUAUAGAGAUGGUCAACAAAUUAUCUUUGUACCACACAUGCAGUUUGAAAAGAAUCCCUGCAAGGUGGCUCAUUGUGGUAAUUGAGUCAAUAAAUUGAAUGACAUUGACCAAAGUUGUCUAGUAUUCACUCACUGCCAGUUUAACUAAUAGAUGACACUGUGUUUUAUGGGUUUAACGGUCUGUCAAUAAAUGAUUUCAAACUUAGUUGCUCAUAACAUUGCAGCAACCGUCAACAUCGUGUGGCAUUCUUGCUUUGGCACACUCUGCCGUUUACCAGUUUGUGUUAUCUAAAGUUGGCAGUGACAAAAAGAUCAAUAAAAAUGUUGUCUCAUUCUGCUAAAAGCUGCUUUAUUGCCUGUUUUAUUUGUUGAAACUAGUUUCAAUUGUAAAAUGUUAAUUUUGCAGUGAAACUUACAAAGCAGAAUCUUUGCUGCCGGAAAAUGUAAAAAUCUCAGCUUUUUUCUGGUGAAUAGGUGUCGUGCCACAUGUACAUAUUGCCUGUGUCUCAAAAUUACUGCUCCCAUCUGAAAUUACUACUGCCAAAUGAAAAUAGAAUCUGGCCAGUUGCAGUAAUCCUAGAGUUUGGAUCAACUGUCCAGUGCUCACCUGGUAGUUGUAAUGUUGAAUACAGCAAUGUUGUUAACACGGAAGAAGCCUGUACAAGUAACAUGAUUUUACCUGUAUAAGAAUAAGAUUUUCAUAUUUUUUUGGAGAAAAGAACUUCACCUUGUAAACUUUGUUGAAUGAAGGUAAUUGUGCAAGGGAAACUGGUUUCCACAAAUAGGCCUACAGCACAUGUACAUCAGCUUUUGAUGGGACACAUUGUUUUCUGUAAAUACAGUGAAU